rnacentral:ncRNA from 1 species
AGGUAGAGGAGCAAAAACCAUUACUAUUAAUAUGGAGAGUAAGCAUCUUUGAAAUAUUAAAAAAGGGGAUUUUGCCGAAGUAUAUAAGAUUGCUUGAAUUUUAUAUAGCUGGGAUUGUAUAGAAUAUAUAUAAUACUGUCACAAUAUAGUUGUGGGGUGCUAUCA